rnacentral:misc_RNA from 1 species
AUACACAGGCAUAGGCUGACCCAUAUACCCGUUCCCAUACACAUGCACAGGCUGCUCCACAUAUCCAAAACCAGGACCCGGGCCGUACCCGAAAACCGGUUGCAUCACAUACUCCAUUCUGUUCCCUUCCAUUUUAGGCGCAGCAUCGCCGCCGGCACCAGCUUUAUCUUGGCCAUCACCACCACCCUUGUUUUUCUUCUUCCCGCCGCCUCCGCCUGCAUUCUCGCCGUCCUUGUCGCCGCCGCCGCCGCCGCCACCGCCCCCGCCCUCUUUUUCCUUCUUUGGAGGAACAAUCUCUACAGGUCUUUUGAGUCUGUCCUUCAAAGUCUCAGUCAACGCCUUAACGUCCAUGGUCCCUUUGACGGUCACCGUUUCCUUCUGCUUAUCCAGCGUCAUCUCCUGCACACCUGCGAAGGCAAGGCCGCAUAACGCAGUUAAAACUUCAGUCAAAAAGAACCCCGUUACGGGGAGGGAACGGAACAGAAAAUAGCAAGUGAUGAUAGAGUUACCUUUGGUCUUGGAAAGGAUGUUGCUAAUUUUCUUGAUACAUCCCAAACAGUGGAAUGCCACCUUGAUUACCGCCGUCGUCACUGGAGCCUAUCCCAUUAAUUAAAUUUAAUUAAUAAAAUAUAAAAUCAUGCUAAAAUGCGCCUCUCCCACCUGACUCGGCUGAAUCAACUGAAUAAAUUUGCAAUAAAUAUAUGAUUGACGAGAGACUCUGAUUUUAAUUGAAAAUGAAAGCAGUAGUAAAAUCACGCAUCAAAUGGGCAUUUUAGAGAAGCGCUACAAUGCGCCACCAUCGAUAACAAAUAACAGUACCUCUUUUGGUUUCUUGUUCUCGGCGUCUGGUUUCUUGUCGCUGGAUUUCUUGUUGUCAUCUUUGUUGUUAGAAUCUUCCUUCUUGGGCUGAGGAGAGAUGAGGUCCACCUUCUUCUUGGUCUUUUGGUGGAGAAUCUCUCGAAUCUGGGAAGGAUCCACUUUCCCUAUCACAGUUAACUUGUUUGCUUCGGGGUCUGCUUUGACGCUUUCCACACCUUCCAAACGACGAGCCAAUUUGAUUAUCUUAGUUGCGCAGCCCUCGCAGUGCAUUUCUACCUUGAAAACCAUGGCCGGAGGAUUCUUUCCACCAUCCUUCUUGUCUCCACCGUCGCCUGCUUCCUUCUUCUGUACUACCUCCUCCUCCUUCUUCUCCCCUUCGUGGUCGUGGUCAUGGUUGUGGCCGUUCUUGUUCUUCUUCUUCCCCAUUACAAAAUUGCGAGACAAGAGAGAGAGAAAGAGAGAACAGAGGGCAGUUACUACUAUCAGUGAGAAGCAGAGAGAGAGAUUGAGGGAUUACUUAGAGAAUGGAGUAUUUAUUUAUAGGAGAGAGAAAGAGAGGAGGAGAUAAGAGACGGUUGUAUGAUGAUAAUGAUGGGGAUGUUGCGGCCUCUAUGAUGCGAUGAUGGUGGUGAUGCAGCUAUGGCGAAUGAAGAGGGGAUUGGAUUGGGUGUUUUCUCUAAAGACUAAUGGGUUUGGUUGGUUGCAACUUCACAUGGAGCUGUGUGGAUGUGGAUGUGGAUGUAGA